CCUACGGGCGGCAGCAGUGGGGAAUAUUGCACAAUGGGGGAAACCCUGAUGCAGCGACGCCGCGUGAAGGAUGAAGUAUUUCGGUUUGUAAACUUCUUUUAGCAGGGAAGAAAAUGACGGUAUCUGACUAAUAAGCCCCGGCUAACUCCGUGCCAGCAGCCGCGGUAAUACGUAGGGGGCAAGCGUUACCCGGAUUUACUGGGCGUAAAGGGAGCGUAGGCGGGAUAGCAAGUCCGAUGUGAAAUCCUAUGGCUUAACCCUAGAACUGCAUUGGAAACUGUCAGGCUAGAGUGUCGGAGAGGUAAGUGGAAUUCCUGGUGUAGCGGUAAAAUGCGUAGAGAUUAGGAGGAACACCAAUGGCGAAGGCGGCUUGCCAGACGAUGACUGACGUUGAGGCUCGAAAGCGUGGGGAGCAAACAGGAUUAGAUACCCUUGUAGUC
rnacentral:rRNA from 1 species